rnacentral:rRNA from 1 species
CUCGUGCCAGCAACCGCGGUUACACGAGGGACCCUAGUUGAUAGAUACGGCGUAAAGUGUGGUUAGAGGUUAAAACUUAAUAAAGUCAAAUUACCUAAAUAGCUGUCGAUAAGCAUGCAAGAUCACGAAGCCCAGUAACGAAAGUAACUUUAUUUUUCCUGAAUCCACGAAAGCUAAGAAACAAACUAGGAUUAGAUACCCCACUA